rnacentral:misc_RNA from 1 species
AAGUCGUAACAAGGUUUCCGUAGGUGAACCUGCGGAAGGAUCAUUACUUUCAGUACUUUGGGGGCUGUCAGUCUAUAUCACUAUAGCAAGCCUCCUCUCUGAAACCCUUGUCUUUUGCGUACCUUAUGUUUCCUCGGCGGGCUUGCUCGCCGGUUGGACAACCUUAAAACCUUUUUAAUUUUCAAUCAGCGUCUGAACAAACAUAAUAAUUACAACUUUCAACAACGGAUCUCUUGGUUCUG